rnacentral:rRNA from 1 species
AAUAGAUACCCUGGUAGUCCACGCCGUAAACGAUGAGUGCUAAGUGUUGGGGGGUUUCCGCCCCUCAGUGCUGCAGCUAACGCAUUAAGCACUCCGCCUGGGGAGUACGGUCGCAAGACUGAAACUCAAAGGAAUUGACGGGGGCCCGCACAAGCGGUGGAGCAUGUGGUUUAAUUCGAAGCAACGCGAAGAACCUUACCAGGUCUUGACAUCCCGGUGACCACUAUGGAGACAUAGUUUCCCCUUCGGGGGCAACGGCGACAGGUGGUGCAUGGUUGUCGUCAGCUCGUGUCGUGAGAUGUUGGGUUAAGUCCCGCAACGAGCGCAACCCUUAUUCUUAGUUGCCAUCAUUCAGUUGGGCACUCUAAGGAGACUGCCGGUGAUAAACCGGAGGAAGGUGGGGAUGACGUCAAAUCAUCAUGCCCCUUAUGACCUGGGCUACACACGUGCUACAAUGGACGGUACAAACGGUUGCCAACCCGCGAGGGGAGCUAAUCCGAUAAAACCGUUCUCAGUUCGGAUUGUAGGCUGCAACUCGCCUAC